rnacentral:lncRNA from 1 species
GCGGUCUUUGGCUUGGAGAAAGAUGAGGUGUCAGCCUCGGAUGCUGCCCGGAUUCUUCCAGAUGCUCGACGAAAUGCCUGACCCAUCGUUGUGUUUUGACGCCGAACGCGGCCUUGUGAUGUCUCUUGUAGUGUAAGCCUAAUAUUGAAGAUGUUUUCGUGGCUUGUUUUGGUGCAUAUGUUUUAGAGAAACUCAACUAACACUCUUUAUAACUUUUUUAUAUCAUUAUGUAAAGUUUAUUACAAUGUAAAGUUUUUCAACUAUGAACCAUAACAUUUUGUCCAUAACUUAGUGUGAUUUAUAAAAUUGUACAUUUCCUUAAUAAGUUAAUUUCAAUAAUACUAUACAUUGAACUAUGGUGAAUCACCUUUUCCUUGAUGAACGUGAAGUGUUAAAAUUUAUCUUGUAAUAAUGUAAUUUGAAAACUAAAAGUUUUUUAUUAUUUGGUCUCCCAAAAUAUUACUAAAAAUAAAUGAUGAAUUUUGAAUUUGAUAUAUUUAGUGUUAUCGAUCUAGCUUUUUAAAGUAUGAUUAUUUAAUAUAUAUAUAUAUAUAUAUAUAUAUAUAUAUAUGGCUAAAGAUAGACAAACCCUAAAAUACAUCCCCUUUGAUGGUGAUUUGGGAUUAUGAAGAUUACAAAUCACAUCAAUCAAAACUCCAACACUGAAUGAAAUUUCCCUUCGAAUCACAGUUUUUCGGUAAUCCAUACACUCGGAUAUGUUUCAUUCCCAACGCUUCAAACUCUUUCUUCUCUAUCGGAAGUCAUUCUCAAUAACCCCUCUUCAAACCCGACAACCCAACAAUCCAUUAUCCUCGAUACUCUCUCUGAAACACUCUUCAAAUGCUUCACAGCAACAACACUCUUUCAUGGUUUCCUAUCUCGUAAACGACCGCGGGUUCUCCCCAGAAACCGCUCUGAAGGCUUCCAAAUUCAUUCAAUUCGAGACCUCGGAAAAGCCCGACUCAGUCAUCGCAUUCUUCAGAGAUAACGGAUUCAGCAAUACCCAGAUAAACAGCAUUGCCGAAAGAGCACCCAAGGUUCUCACUUGCGACCCCCACAAAAGGGUUUUUCCAAAGUUCGAGUUUUUACUCUCGAAAGGGGCCUCACGCUCUGACAUUGUGGAACUGGUGAGUAGGAGCCCCAGAAUCCUUUACUGCAGCCUCGAGAAUAACAUUGUCCCUUCGUAUGAACUGAUGAGGAAGUUUUUUCAAACCGAUAAGGAAACGAUGGAUUGCAUACGCUCUUGUGGUCAUUUCUUUGGUACUGAUCGUGUGGUGAAGAAUGUGGAACUUUUGGUUGAUGAUGGAGUCACUGAUCGUGUACUAGCCUUUGUGUUACGCAGGAGAAUUUCUAUAAUCUUGUGUUCUUCCUUGAAGAGGACUUUGGAUGAGGUUAAGGAAAUGGGGUUUGAUCCUUCCAAGUUGAGCUUUGCCAUCGCGCUGGUGGCGAAAACGACCAUUCCGAAAUCUCGAUGGGAGAGGAAAGUUGAUGCCUUUAAGAGAUGGGGUUGGUCUGAAGAAUUGGUUCUCAGAGUGUUUAGGAGGCAACCCCUCGUAAUGUUGGUGUCCCAAGAAAAAAUUGAUAGGAUUAUGAGAUUUUGGGUUAAGCAAUUAGGUUGGGACUAUUUGGCUCUUACCAAGAAACCAGAGAUUUUUGGAUUUAGUUUGGAGAGAAGGAUCAUUCCAAGGGCACUUGUUGUCCAGUAUUUACUCAAGAAAGGUUUGAGGAGUAAGAGUGCCAGCUUGAUUACGCCAUUUUCUGUUUCUGAUAAGGUAUUUAUUGAAAACUAUGUCAUGCGUUUUAAGGAGGAGACAAGUGAACUACUAAAGCUGUACCAAUUCAAAGACUAAAAGAGGAUGAUCAAAUGGUUAACUAACGAGAACUAAUUUCUCUGAUUCCAGAAGUUUGUAUUUCUUCAUCCCUUAUAACUUGGAGUUAGUCAUGUUUAAAUUCAACUGAUUUAAAUCAAUUGUGUCAUUCUGAUGGGUUGGAAUGCUUUCUGCAAUUGCCACCAUCUUUGUGAUUUAUAUCAGUUGCUUGACGUUAUAUAAAUGUGACUGUAGCAUGAAAAGUUUAGCUCAAAUUCUUAUCCAAUGCUCAUCUGCAACAUAGCUUACACAAGCAUUUUUUUUUUUUUGUCGUUGCCUUUGGAAUAAAAGUCUAUAUGUCAUCCUUGCAUUAAUGUAUGCACUGGCAAGGAUCUUUUAGUUAUUAGUUUGUAUACAUGUCAAUUCUUUUUUCUGGUUUGGUUUCUGGAUUGAAAUAUUUCAACUAUUUUGGUAAUUGAUCUUAUAGGAUAGGCAAGAUAUCAUUACAAUUAUCACAUGAAAAAGUCUCUUUAACAAUAUUUUUUACUAACUCUUUGAUAAUACAUACGUGUUAUAGGAUAGGCAAGAUAUCAUUACAAUUAUCAUAUGAAAAAGUCUCUUUAACAAUAUUUUUUACAACUCUUUGAUGAUACAUACGUGCUAGUUUGUGAUUGGUCCGUUUCAAAUAUUUUUUAGAAUAAAUUCAAACAAAUCAAUAAAAUGAUGACAUGUGUUCAAUUAUCAAAAAGUUGUUAAAAUAUCAUUGUCCAUCAUCAUAACUCCUUUAACUUUUGUGUAACUUAAUGAUUUGUUCCUUGUUAGUGGAAAAAUAAUGUCAAAUUAUUGCACAGACGUUUAGCUGGGUAUACAUCAAAUGACAACGUCCGGAUACACCAUUGUAGUUUGUAUGGUCACUUGUGAUGGUUAAAGAAGAAAAAGAAAAAUAAAGACUAUCAUAUGCAAGUAUUAAAAAAUACUAUUGAUUUUUCUCUUCUGUCGUAUGAACUUUGUAAGAAUAAAGUUUUUAAUUUAUCUCAAUAAUUUAGUAAGAAGCAUCCAAUCAUUGUAUAUUUCAAAAAACACUACACACUCUUUGUUGAUGAAAUAAAUUAUAAUCUUUUAACUAUUUAGACAUUAUAUUUAUUUAGGAUUAGAAAUGAUUUAUCAAAAUAAUACUUAAUUAAGUAAAAGAUUGCCUAUGUAAAAAAAUUACAUAAUACUAAAAUUAGACUCGUCAAAAAGUGAUCGACAGUUUAAAAAUACUCUAAAUAAACUAAAAGUGAUUUGUUAAAAAAUAAUAAGUUAAAUUACGCAAAUUUAUUGAAACAGAUUAAACUAAUAAUGUAUUGUUUAGUAUUAAUCUUUUUAAUAAAACUUAAACAGUUUGUCAAAAAUUAAACAAAAUAUAUGAAAUCAAUCAAACUAUUAAAAAAAUAUUUUAUAUAUAUAUAUAUAUAUAUAUAUAAUACACCAUUUAUUAAUACAUAGACAAUAUAAUUAAAAAAAUUUAAAAACAAAAUUCAAGUCUGCCUUUUUUGUGUAUUAUUUCUUAUUUUUCACAUAUUAAAGAAGAUGUAAUCAACGCUUCUAAUCCGUGUAAAUUUAAUUAUAUUUAUUUUUAUUUAGAAUUGGGUUAAUUAAUUACUUGGAUUGGACCCUUAAGUUAUGUUAUAGGAUAAUGUUCUAAUUCAUUUGUGGGAUUAUUUUGUCUUUUUUAUUUAUUUCUUUUAGAAUUUAAUUCUACAGAGUUGAUAAUUUGUUUCUCUCUUUGAGAACAGAUAUCGAAUGGAACCCUAGCAGAAAAAUAGGAGUGAGAUUUGAAGGAGGAGCUUGUAUCUGUCUCAAAAUCUGAGUUACUCAGUACCACGCUCAGGUAACAUCAUUGUUCUUCAAUCCUUUGCCUUUUCAAUUUUCAGGAAUUUUCUUCAAUUUGAAAAGUUGUUUUUCACCUCAUCACCAUGUUCAAUAAACUUCUGUACUUGAAAUGUGUCACUUCCACAGCAACAUCACCUUACCCUUUUAUCCACCACUACCCAUUCCUCUUUUCUCUUUGUUUCUGCACAGCCACUUCAAAUUCACGCUCAUUUGCAAUAUCCUACCUCGUUGACAACUUUGGAUUCUCUCCUGAAUCUGCUUCCAAAACAUCUAAGUCCUACAAUAUUUGUUUCCAGACCUCAGAAAAGCCCGAGACUGUGAUCGGGUUCUUCAGAAAUCACGGUUUCUCUAAUAUUCAAGUAAACUAUAUGGUUAGAAAGGCACCGUGGUUGCUUUCUUGUGACCCCUGCAAAAGGUUAUUGCCAAAGUUUGAAUUUUUUCUCUCAAAGGGUGUUUCUAGGUCUGAAAUUGUUGACCUAAUAAGUAAGUACCCUAGAGUACUGCGUCCAAGCCUGGAGAAUCAUAUAGUCCCAACCUAUGAAUUGAUAUAUAAGUUAUUCCAAUCUCAUGUGAGGACUACUCGUUUUAUGUUUGGUAAUACAUUUUACUCUUUCAAGGAUCGUCUGGCACACAACAUCAGAUUGCUGCUAGAGAAUGAAGUGAGCGAAUCAAAUAUUGCAAGAUUGCUUGGGAACCAUAGUAAGGCGGUCUAUACCUCAAAUGAUAUAGUUAAGUUGGUGAAGGAAGUAAAGGAUUUGGGGUUUGAUCCUUCAAAAGAAAGUUUUGUUGUAGCGAUGAUGGCCAUAAAAAAAAUAAGUGUUUCCCUGUGGAAGGAGAAAGUUGAUACCUUCAAGAAAUGGGGUUGGUCUGAUGAAGCGUUGUCUGAAGCAUUUAGGAGGCACCCUCACUUUAUGUUGAAAUCUAUUAAAAAAAUAAAUGCUGUGAUGAACCUUUGGGUCAAUGAGUUGGGAAGGGAUCCUUUGGAACUUGUCCAUCGUCCAAUGAUUUUCGAUUUGAGUAUGGAAAAGACAAUCAUUCCAAGGGCCCGUGUUGUCCAGCAUUUACUUUCUAAAGGCUUGAGGAAAAGUGCCAACUUUGUGUAUCCGAUUAGUAUUCCUGAAAAGUUAUUUCUUGCAAGGUUUGUGACAUGUUUUAAGGAGGAAUCAUCUCAACUAUUAAAGCUGUAUCAGGAAAAAGUUAGUGUUCAAGGANNNNNNNNNNNNNNNNNNNNNNNNNNNNNNNNNNNNNNNNNNNNNNNNNNNNNNNNNNNNNNNNNNNNNNNNNNNNNNNNNNNNNNNNNNNNNNNNNNNNNNNNNNNNNNNNNNNNNNNNNNNNNNNNNNNNNNNNNNNNNNNNNNNNNNNNNNNNNNNNNNNNNNNNNNNNNNNNNNNNNNNNNNNNNNNNNNNNNNNNNNNNNNNNNNNNNNNNNNNNNNNNNNNNNNNNNNNNNNNNNNNNNNNNNNNNNNNNNNNNNNNNNNNNNNNNNNNNNNNNNNNNNUGAAAAAAAGUCAUGUCCUUAUUUGCUCCAUAGUUGUCAAUUGGUCAUGUCAAUCUGAUAGGGCACAUGUCAGACAAGUUCUUUGCUUGGAGAAAAAUGAAGAAAAUAUUAGCAUGUUAAAUGAUAGAAUCAUCUAGCUGCAAGAACUUGUUACUGUUUUAAUAUAUGUCAUUGAAUUUUUUUUCUUUUUCUUCAUGGACUGUAUUACCAUAGUAUGAGCUUUUAUCUGUAGGUAUAAACAGUUUGUCUUCUUGUUGAACAAGUAUUGCUAAUUCGAGUUUAAUUGUUACUUAAUUUUCUAACUUUUAUGGUUUUUCUUUUAAUAUUUGAUUCUAGUAAUGUUUUCUUUUGUUUAGUGAAGGCUUAGGGAAAGCUUUGGAAAAAUGAUAAAGUUCUGCAUCAUGACUUGGUGUUCAGUUGUUGAAGUUGUAGAAACUGCACCUUUGCUCAUAGGGAUAGGGGUUCAUGCAUUUGACUCUCCGAACUCCCUCAAUGUUGAAAGCCUUAAUCAUGAGUGAGUAGGGACUAGGGAUUGCUACUGUGAAAUUGAACCCCCUGUGCAUUGUACUCUUGUCUUUGAGAUUAAGAGAUGAGUGAGGGAGUGAUAGGAUUGUGAUUCUAGUGUGGAUGCAUCAAAGGGCGUAGAAAGUGAAGGGAUCACAUUAUGGACCAACAACAAAAGUAUGAAAGGUUUAUUCUUAGAAAGAAUAAAAGUGGACUUGGAUUUAAGACAAGUGUUCAGCUUGAAGCAAAGGGUUGUGUUGAGAAUCUUGUUUGUUUUCCUAGAAAACGUGGAUUGGGAGAGGACUCUGUACUUUUAGGCUGUUAUGCAGGGAGAAAAAUACUUUUCUGUUGUCACUCAAAGCUCUGUUUUUAAUUGAAUAAAAUCUAGGAAAACCAGAAUUCUGUCCUUGGUUUUCGUUGGACAAUUUCAGUUGGCUAAAAGCUCUUUUGAAUAUUUAGUGCAUUUAUUAGCAUGACCAUGCUUUUACUUAUACAUGCACUGGUAAUAUUUGGUUACUUUACUGCUUCUGUUUUGGAACUAUUUUCACAAAUUAAGCUUUGGUUCUUAAAUGUGUUGUUCAUGAACAUCUUCAAAUUGCAUGCUUGAACAAGUUUAGUGAAGAUGAAUUUUAGUGAGAUUAUUACCAAGCUGGGGGAAACUGAAUGCCUGCAAUGCCAUGCAUAAGGGAAAAUAUAAAGAACUUAAACCAGAAUAUAUUUGUAUAGCACUACUAAUCAUUAAG